rnacentral:rRNA from 1 species
UUGGAGGGCAAGUCUGGUGCCAGCAGCCGCGGUAAUUCCAGCUCCAAUAGCGUAUAUUAAAGUUGUUGCAGUUAAAAAGCUCGUAGUUGAAUUUCGGGAUUGACGUGAUGGUCAUGCCUUAAGGGGUAUGAACUGUCACAGUUGAUUUCUCACCUUCUGGAGAAGCUUGAUGUCCUUCAUUGGGUGUCUUGCGGAUCCAGGACCUUUACCUUGAAAAAAUUAGAGCGUUUAAAGCAGGCAUUUUUGCUCGAAUACAUUAGCAUGGAAUAAUAGAAUAGGACGGCAUGGUUCUAUUUUGUUGGUUUCUAGGAUCACCGUAAUGAUUAAUAGGGAUAGUUGGGGGCAUUAGUAUUCAAUUGUCAGAGGUGAAAUUCUUGGAUUUAUUGAAGACUAACUACUGCGAAAGCAUUUGCCAAGGAUGUUUUCAUUAAUCAAGAACGAAAGUUAGGGGAUCGAAGACGAUCAGAUACCGUCGUAGUCUUAACCAUAAACUAUGCCGACUAGGAAUCAGACGAUGUUAAUUUUUUAAUGACUCGUUUGGCACCUUACGGGAAAC